rnacentral:rRNA from 1 species
GAUGAACGCUGGCGGCGUGCCUAAUACAUGCAAGUCGAGCGAACAGACGGGGAGCUGUCGCCUCUGAGGUUGGCGGGGGUCGGGUGAGUAACACGUGGAUAACCUACCUAUAAGACUGGGAUGACUUCGGGAAACCGUGGCUAAUACCGGAUAAUAUAUUGACCUGCAUGGGUCAAUAGUUAAAUACGGUUUUGCUUUCACUUAUAGAUUGCUCCGCGCCGGAUUAGUUAGUUGGUGAGGUGAAGGCUUACCAAGGCUACGAUGCGUAACCGGCCCGAGAGGGAGAUCGGCCACACUGGCACAGAGACACGUCCCAGACUCCUACGCGAGGCAGCAGUCGGGAAUCCUCCGCAAUGCGGCAAAGCCUGACGGAGCAACGCCGCGGGAGUGCUGAAGGUCCUCGGAUCGUAAAACUCUGUUAUUAGGGAAGAACAAAUGUGUAAGUAACUAUGCACGUAUUGACGGUACCUAAUCAGAAAGCCCCGGCUAACUCCGUG